AGACAGCAGGACGGUGGCCGUGGAAGUCGGCAUCCGCUAAGGAGUGUGUAACAACUCACCUGCCGAAUUGACCAGCC
rnacentral:ncRNA from 1 species